UACGGAGGGUGCGAGCGUUGUCCGGAAUCACUGGGCGUAAAGGGCGCGUAGGCGGCGCGGGCAGUCAACGGUGAAAGCUUGGGGCUCAACCCCCGAGUCGGCCGUCGAUACUCCCGGGCUGGAGCACUGUAGAGGCAGGUGGAAUUCCGGGUGUAGCGGUGGAAUGCGUAGAGAUCCGGAAGAACACCGGUGGCGAAGGCGGCCUGCUGGGCAGUAGCUGACGCUGAGGCGCGACAGCGUGGGGAGCAAACAGG
rnacentral:rRNA from 1 species